UGGAAGUUGAAAGGCUUCCCACUCUCCAAAGGAUAUCAAGGUUCCUUCCUUGUAUAUAGUUUUACUUGAAAUUGCUCCUCGUCAAAUACCUGAACACAGCAAGAAAAGCAAACUAGAAUCUUCCUCUCUAGCUUUCAAAGGGUCUUCUACCACUUGAGAUUUGGGGCGGUCAAGAUUUUCUUGAAGAGACCAUGAAUUCUAUGUUCAGUUCUUUUGAUGCUUUGUGUGCUGAGUUAUUGGGUCAAAAAGUGAGGUCUUCACUCGCUCUUACAACCAUGGAUUGCAAUACCAAGAGGGUUUUGACUGCUGGUGAUAAUAGCAUGGUGGCAGAAGAUAAGUUGAUCAAGAAUCGAGAUGGAAGCUCCUCGAGAUCGUUGGCUAGGAAACAAGAGAAGAAGGUGCCAAGGUUUGCACCAGAGCUCGAUGGACUCAACUGCUUUGAGACCAUUGUUAACUAUUGAGAUUCGAUGACAUGACGCAAUGAAGUUGUGUCUUUAUUUAUAGGGAUAUGUAGAGAAAGAAAAAGGUAGGGAUUAUUCUUUGAUUGAUCCAUCUGAAGUGGUGAUUGUAAUGUUAAAAUGUAAUUCUAAUAUACUAUGUAUGACUAGAAUAUUCUUUUUGUUCAUCUUCUUGAAAUAAUUUUGAGUUUUUAUUAA